rnacentral:miRNA from 1 species
UUGGGCUGGGCUGGGUUGGG